AAAAAAAAAAAAAAGGAACACCCAGAACAUGGCAUGGAACCCCUGCGGCUGAUUUUAAAAGGCCAGUGUUCCAAAGCCAGACCAAGACAUCACAAGAAAAGGAGAUUCAGAUCGAUUUCCCCUGUGAGCAUAAAAAUACUUAAGAUAUUAAUAAAUUGAAUCCAGUGCUAUAUUAAAAGGUUAAUGUGUCAAGAUCAGAAAACUGUCAGAGUGUUGAUAGGUCCGUGGCUGGAGAGUACGUGAUGUCAGAAGGCUUCCUUGGAGCGGGAAGAAGACGGCAUUUAAAAUAUGAUGGGAGGAGCCAGGGCAGGAAAAGCCAUUCAGGGCCCCGUCGGGCUCAGAGUGGGGGGCGCAUCUGUGACUCACCCCUGACUUCUCUCUCUGCCCUGCAUCCUGGACGUGCAGGGGCAUGCCCUCGUCAGUGGGCUGUGUCUGGGCCCCCAUUGUCUUGAUCUGAGGUGUGAGCCCUGUGGUGCAGCCAGGCAGGCUGGGUUGUGUGAGGAACGCUUGGAGUAUAAGCAACCUCCAUUCUCCACAAAGCCUGACUCGAGACUCUCUCCUGGAAGCAACGUUCCCCUAAUGUGGCCGCCUGGGCUGAAUGAAGGUGGUGUUCUCCUUGGGGGCGUCUGCACGUGAGUGCCCUUGGUGGUCCUGAGUGCCCGUCACAGGGCUGGAGGUGUGGCUGGCCCACUGGGUUGUUGGUGGUCCUAAGUGCCCAUCACAGGGCUGGAGGUGUGGCCGGCCCACUGGGUUGGUGGUGGUGGGUGCCUGUCACAGGGCUGGAGGUGUGGCCGGCCCACGCGGGUUGCUGGUGGUCGGGUGCCCGAUCACAGGGCUGGAGGUGUGGCCGGCCCAGUGGGUUGGUGGUGGUGGGUGCCUGUCACAGGGCUGGAGGUGUGGCCGGCCCACUGGGUUGGUGGUGGUGGGUGCCCGUCACAGGGCUGGAGGUGUGGCCGGCCCAGUGGGUUGUGUUUUCUGGACUACAUCCCUUCCCACGAGGAUGAGAUGACCCUUCUGUUGCAUCCUGGCUGCUGAUAAAACAAGACCCUCGGAGCCAAGAAACAACACUGAGGAUGGGCCCUGAUGAACACCUGCACACCAGAUGCUGCCCUGGGUGCCGGGGCCCACAGGAAACUGCACUGGGAUCCCUGUGUCCUGGGCAGGUCCUGUGGGAAGUGCAGCCCACGUGUUACUCAGGUGAAGGCAGCAUCCCCACCCAGCCUGAGGACUCCACACAGGGUGGACGCCCGACCCUGGCUGGGCCGCUCACGGGGGAGAGGCUUGGACGCCCCUUUGGAGUGCAGUCCCACAUUCCGUACCUGCCUCAUGUCCUUGGCAUUCUUGGGCCCCAGUCGUGGUGUGGGAGUGGCUGCCUGUGCACACCACGGGCCUCCAGCUGCACGGCCUCAACGGGGCCACGAGCCAUCGCCGGGUCAGGCGGGGGUGCCGGGCACCUCAUCACUAGGGCAGUGACAUCACAAGGCGCAGAAGGCAGCGGUGGCUACGGAACCCCAUGCCCGGGCUGUUUCUGUGGUGCCUGCGGGCUCUGGGCUCCCACCUCCAUGGGGCUGCAGGAGCCGUGAGGGACGAGGAGGGACGCGCCCGCCAUGGCUGAGGGCGGCGAGCUGAUGAGCCGGCUUCUGAGCGAGAACGCAGACCUGAAGAAGCAGGUGCGCCUCCUGAAGGAGAAUCAGAUGCUGCGGCGGCUGCUCAGCCAGAGCUGCCAGGAGGGCAGUGGCCACGACCUGCUCCCACCCAGGGCCCCCGCCUACCCUGAGGCCGGCUCCCCCGGGAGUGGAGUUCCGGAUUUCGGAAGGUUCACGAGUGUUGCCGACACGCCCUCCCAGCUGCAGACAUCCUCCCUGGAGGACCUGCUGUGCUCACAUGCCCCCCUGUCCAGCGAGGACGACACCUCCCCGGGCUGCGCAGCCCCCUCCCAGUCACCCUUCAAGGCCUUCCUCAGUCCCCCGGAGCUGCACAGCCACCGAGGCACCGACAGGAAGCUGUCCCCGCUCCUGAGCCCCUUGCAAGACUCCCUGGUGGACAAGACGUUGCUGGAGCCCAGGGAGAUGGUCCGGCCUAAGAAGGUGUGCUUCUCGGAGAGCAGCCUGCCCAGCGGGGACAGGACCAGGAGGAGCUACUACCUCAAUGAGAUCCAGAGCUUCGCGGGCGCCGAGAAGGACGCGCGCGUGGUGGGCGAGAUCGCCUUCCAGCUGGACCGCCGCAUCCUGGCCUACGUGUUUCCGGGCGUGACGCGGCUCUACGGCUUCACGGUGGCCAACAUCCCCGAGAAGAUCAAGCAGACCUCCAUCAAGUCCCUGGACGGCUCCGUGGACGAGAAGAAGCUGCGCGAGCUGACGCAGCGCUACCUGGCCCUGAGCGCGCGCCUGGAGAAGCUGGGCUACAGCCGCGACGUGCACCCGGCGUUCAGCGAGUUCCUCAUCAACACCUACGGAAUCCUGAAGCAGCGGCCGGACCUGCGCGCCAACCCCCUGCACAGCAGCCCGGCCGCGCUGCGCAAGCUGGUCAUCGACGUGGUGCCCCCCAAGUUCCUGGGCGACUCGCUGCUGCUGCUCAACUGCCUGUGCGAGCUCUCCAAGGAGGACAGCAAGCCGCUCUUCGCCUGUUGGGUGUGGUGGGAUACAGACACAGGAACCCUGACUUGAAAGGAGAGUGUCACAAAGUACUGCAGACCCAGCAGCUUAAACCACAGGAGGGCACGUGCCAUGCCACACAGGGCCACCGGGGGGCGCUGUGGCAACAGGACCCGGAAGGAAUUAGCCAGCCCUGGGAGGGCAUCUCCACCCAGCCAGCAAGGCCCCGGAGAGGUCGAAGCAUCAUAAACCAGAAAACAAAAAGCACGCGAUUUGCUGGGCUGGAGGACAGGGCCAGGUCUUGGCCUUGGCACCGUCCUGGGUCACGAGUGGAUGGUUCCGGUCACUCCGCUGUGGUGUGAGGAUGAAGGUGUCAGCCCAGUGUGGGCAACCCUCGCAGCCAGCAUGUUCCGAUGCCGCUCACCUGUAGGUGUGUGCCGCUGCCGUCACAAAGUACUGCGGACCCAGCAGCUUAAACCACAGAAAUUUAUUCUGUCGAAGUCCUGAGGCCCAGAGUACAAGAUGAAAGCAUCCGCAGGUUCUGUUUGUCUGAGGCCUCCCUGCUAGGUGCAGGCGGCCGCCUCCCUGCUUGGUCCUCCUGGCCCUUUCUCUGAGUGCAUCCCUGGUGCCUCUCCCUCUUCUCACCACCCUGUCCAUCUCCACAUCCAAUCCAGUCUGCCACCUGGGGUCAGGACUUCACAG